rnacentral:rRNA from 1 species
AACGAACGCUGGCGGCAUGCCUAAUACAUGCAAGUCGAACGAAGCCUUCGGGCUUAGUGGCGCACGGGUGCGUAACGCGUGGGAAUCUGCCCUUUGGUUCGGAAUAACAGUUGGAAACGACUGCUAAUACCGGAUGAUGACGAAAGUCCAAAGAUUUAUCGCCAGAGGAUGAGCCCGCGUAGGAUUAGCUAGUUGGUGUGGUAAAGGCGCACCAAGGCGACGAUCCUUAGCUGGUCUGAGAGGAUGAUCAGCCACACUGGGACUGAGACACGGCCCAGACUCCUACGGGAGGCAGCAGUGGGGAACAUUGGACAAUGGGCGAAAGCCUGAUCCAGCAAUGCCGCGUGAGUGAUGAAGGCCCUAGGGUUGUAAAGCUCUUUUACCCGGGAUGAUAAUGACAGUACCGGGAGAAUAAGCCCCGGCUAACUCCGUGCCAGCAGCCGCGGUAA